CUCAAAAAAUGGGUUUUGUAGCACUGUUCAUUAUACACAAAUGUAUUUAGUUACAUUAACACAUACACAUUUAUUUUUAAGACAAAAUACAAGUGUAAUGUGUUAUGCUAAAUCAAUUGGUUAUUCAUUCUGGUUUACCUAACUACCUAUCUUUAAACUAAAGUAAUUGGUUUACUUUUGCGAUUCAAAUACCGGAUGUGACGUCAUUUAACGACUUCCACGCACGAAGACGGCGCGCAGGUGAUGGUGUUUCGGUCAUACCACAAUGACUUCUCCAGUCUGGCUAAAAGUUACAAAAGGUGAUCCUUCAGUAUGCCAUUCCUUCUUCAGUGAGUGACCUGUCAAAUUAAAUAGAAAAACAAUGUAAUCUACAAGGACAUUUAAGGAUGCAGUUCAUGGAUUCUGACUUGGGCAAUUAGUUUUUAAGUGAAAUUAAAUUUACUCAAGCCCAAACCAGCUGGAAUUUCCAGUGCUGCUUACCAUAUAAAAAAAACAUGCAACGCUGAGGUCAACUACUGCCCUUACCAUCCACAAACGGAGACAUCCAAAACACUGGAAGUAGAGACAUGAGGUUGUCAAGGAAUCGCCUUCAAUAGCAGAUUUCAAAACUAGAUGGCCUGCUCUUUUCAGAAGGGAAGAGAUUUGUGCAGAGUUUUAAAGAAUCGCAACAGCCCCAUUGGUGUCUACAUACUUGGCGAAGAUGGAUCAAUAUUCUGCAAAGCUUAUAAGGAUCUAUGCAAAACGAGGAGUCAUCAAAUGACCGAGAAUUAAAAACCUGCUGGUUUCCACAACACGGACUGACAACAUUGAUCAGACUCCGAUCUUUCUUUGUCUACCUGAAUGAAGACCUGACCAGUCUAAUUAAAGAGUAUUUGGAUACAGAUGCACCCAGUACCCAGGAGGCGAUCCAGAAGAUGGUGAUGGGAGUGCUUGUAGGUUCAGACAUCGAAGACAGCCCAGCAGAUGUUGGAGUGUUAUUAAAGGGAUUAAGAGUUCUUGGACCUCAACAACAUUGUGUAUGCGACAACCAUGCUGAUGGGACUGAUAUAUGCACUGAACUUGAGCUACUUUCCUGAAUUCAGGUACACUUAAGUAUUGCAGUUGUUGUUUCUGGAGCUAGAUGGGAAGUAACUAUCUCAUAAAGUUCAGACGCUGAAGACCAAGCCUUUUGCAGAUGUUUUGAGAAAGGAAUGUUUUAAUAUUUCAUAUGUAAAUGCCAUGUUUUUGAAAUGGAGUUUUCGUGCAUUUCAUUUGUCAGUAACUGUAAAAAAAUUGUAAUGUUGUUAUAAGGUUACAUUGUAAUAUCCAAAGUCCUUAAAAACUUUGCAAGCUUUUCAAGUUGAUGAGUGCAUCUCAUUUGUUGGUAUAUCAUUUACAGUAUCUGUAGUUUAAGUGCAAUAAACAUGGGUUGAAGAACUGGUGUAUGAGAUUCUUUUUUGAAUAAAAUGAAUGCUAUAUAGAGUUUAUUACAAAAAGUAUAUUUUUGUGUGUGAUGUACUUGAAAUAGACAUUGUUGUGUUAAAGUAACUAAAAGUAAUUGGAUGGAACCACUGUCCACAAUGUAAUUGAGUUGUAUGAAUAAACUACUCUUGAGUUGGACAAGCAAAAAAUAUUUGAUUCGUUUGAACAAGUUAAACACAUGUUC